GUCUCCUAAAAACCCAGAACAGAAGAUCAUUAAGAGAGUGAUUGCUCUUGAAGGAGAUAUUGUCAGGUUUCCCUAGGACUUCUGCAUGCCCAUGCCACACAUAUCCUGUGGCCCCCAGAGCGCUGGCAGAAAUUGGAAUCUGUUCUUCCUCCAGAGCGCUUACCAGUACAGAGAGAAGAGGAAUGACUGCAUGAAUCUACCUGAGUUGCUGGCAUUGGGAGGCCAGUUACUGGAAAGGAAUGGAAAAAAGAAGCCUCCAAAAGGGAAAAACUUCUGACAAUAUGAUGCUGUGCGAGAAAUAUUUACAGCACAUUAAAACGAUCUGUAUUAUUAAAUAAAUAAUUUUCAAAUGUUAAACAGUAUUAAAUGGCACCUGAUUUUGUGUUAAAUUUUAGUUCCCUGUUGUUUAAUGCCCCCAAAAUAUGCAGACCUUUGGGAAUAUAAAAAUAUUGCACCCACAUGUCUUAAUGGGGCUGAAUUUCAGAUUAUUUGUUACAUAUACUUAUUAUAUUGAUUGUUGGGUUUUGAUUUUGGUGCUUGCUGCUGAAAUAAAUUGAAAAUUAAUAUUCAAUAAAAAUGA
rnacentral:lncRNA from 1 species